UGUCUCCCUCCUUUUUUGCACCCAUCACCAUUGCCACUUUGUUUGCAUAGGCCAAUAAGGUUUCUGGGCUAAUGUCCUCAGGGGCUCCGCGUAUGCGGACAUUUCUUCUGCGGUGGCGCGUCUCCAUCUCCGUGACUGUGCGAGUGAGUCUUUGGAGUUGGAGUGUCAGUGCAUCCGUUUGCCUUCUGGAGUCAGUCAGUAAGGCGUCUCUUUGGCCUUCUCGAGUUUCCACUGCCUCCAAGCGCCCCUUCAUGUCUG